rnacentral:rRNA from 1 species
GAUGAACGCUGGCGGCGUGCUUAACACAUGCAAGUCGAACGGAAAGGCUCCUGCUUGCAGGGGUACUCGAGUGGCGAACGGGUGAGUAACACGUGGGUGAUCUGCCCUGCACUUCGGGAUAAGCCUGGGAAACUGGGUCUAAUACCGGAUAGGACGAUGGUUUGGAUGCCAUUGUGGAAAGUUUUUUCGGUGUGGGAUGAGCUCGCGGCCUAUCAGCUUGUUGGUGGGGUAAUGGCCUACCAAGGCGUCGACGGGUAGCCGGCCUGAGAGGGUGUACGGCCACAUUGGGACUGAGAUACGGCCCAGACUCCUACGGGAGGCAGCAGUGGGGAAUAUUGCACAAUGGGCGCAAGCCCGAUGCAGCGACGCCGCGUGGGGGAUGGCGGCCUUCGGGUUGUAAACUCCUUUCGCUAGGGACGAAGCGCAAGUGACGGUACCUGGAGAAGAAGCACCGGCUAACUACGUG